UAUGUGAUCGUCUCUCGCAUAUCAAUAAGCGGAGGAAAAGAAACUAACAAGGAUUCGCCUAGUAACGGCGAGUGAAGCGGGAAGAGCUCAAAUUUGAAAUCUUAAAGGGUUUCCCUUUACGAAUUGUAGUUUAAAGAAGUGUUUUCUGUUGAGGUUUUGGUAAAAGUUCUUUGGAAUAGGACAUCAUAGAGGGUGAGAAUCCCGUAUUUGACCUUUACUUUCAACUUUGUGAUACACUUUCAAAGAGUCGGAUUGUUUGGGAAUGCAGUCCAAAAUGGGUGGUAAAUUUCAUCUAAAGCUAAAUAUUGGCGAGAGACCGAUAGCGAACAAGUACCGUGAGGGAAAGAUGAAAAGAACUUUGAAAAGAGAGUUAAACAGUACGUGAAAUUGUCAAAAGGGAAGCGUUUGACACCAGUGUUGUUUUUCUGAAAAUCAAUUAAAGAACUGUUUAUGCUAAGCUUGUUUAGACUUUAUCAGCUAACUGUUUAGUUUUGAGCUUUUCUUUAAUGCACUUUUCAGUUAACAAGUCAACAUCAAUUUCUUUUGCUGUAAAAAAGCUUGAGGAAGGUGGCUUGAGAUUCGUCUUAAGUGUUUAUAGCCUCUUGCCUAUGCAGUCGGAGAGAUUGAGGUCUGCAGCGUAGAUCCUUCGGGGCUAAAUGCAUUUGUGCUAAGUUAUAGCAUUUUAUAGACAACUUGUUGACUAUGAUUUGUCUUGUAGCUUACUCGCUUAUGUUAUUUUACCUACGCUUAGGAUGUUGAGUAGCGACAUACGCAC
rnacentral:rRNA from 1 species